UAAGGGAAAAAACACUUUCUCACAGACGGUAACAGCGAAGCGGAUAAUAGUCUUGAGUAUCUGCUGGUCUUUGAAGCUCUGGAUUCUGGGACUGUUGGAAAAGGUGGUUGGAUGUUACACUCUGGAAAUGGAAUGAAGCAUUGACUGUAUAAAAGAUGGACGACGCGACACCGCCUCCUCCCAUUGUGCAAAAAUGAAGCCAAAAUAUCCCGCUUGUGGAGGCUGCCAUCUUGCAAAUUUGGAGCCAGAGUCUGCGCAGUAGUGACUUGAGGUGGAGCGACUGUGUAACGCUCCCGCCCACGCACCCUCUGGACGUGACUGCAAACACGCCCCCCUACACUUUUUACGUAGCCCGGCUGCUCGAGUUUUUUUGCUGGUUUACCGCGACUGACGACUCGUUUAAUUAAGAGUCCAUAUUAUAUCAACAGCUACAUUCACCCUGGAGAGAAACUAGUGAGGGAGACCAUCAGGACCAAGCUGGGUUUCCUGGGUACAGAGGUUUGGAGAAACUUCUUCCCGUUCUUUCAUCACAGCUGUCCUGUGCCAGAAGUUCUGUUGACCUACUGAAAGAGGCAUCAUUUAAGAAAAAACAGGAACACUGAAGCUCAUCGCAUUGAUCAAGCAGGACUCAUGAUCUUCACCAGCAGCUCCCUCCUAGGGCUGUUCAAUAUAACGAUAUAUAUCGGAUGACGAUAUAAAAACGUCUAUCAUUUCAUUUUACGCUAUCGUUUGUUUCGUGGUGUCGCAAAAUAAACUGUUUACGGCAAAAUUUUUUCAUCGUUUUGAUGGUCACUGUAGUGGCUAUAUUAAUUUCUUAAAGUUCUCUCUUUCUCUUAUAUUUUAUAUAACCACACUACGGACGGACAAGCACCUGUUUUUAUGCGUUGUGGUUAGCAACAACGACGGUAACAGCAUCGCGUGUCCGCUUGUUUAUGUUCCACAUAAACCUUUCACAAUAAAGCUCAAGAUCCUGUUGAGACUUUUCAAAAUAAACUGAAUCACGUGAAACAGCAGAUUAUUUACGGAUGAGAAGUGUAAAAGAGCCGCCAGGUGCUAAAAAAUAAACCUUAGACUAAAACGUAGAAACAGGCUUUUCCCCGCAGCACGCCGUGUAAUAAAUACUCACAAAGAAAACGGCGGCUGUUACAACUUAUGUCUAAAAAUGUAUAGUUUCAUGCAUCGGUUAAAACACUCGACUCCAGCUACAUGACGCGCAGCUGGAAACACUUCCCGCAAGACUAGCUUCCCGAGAUUCACAGAAUUUACAGAAAAUGUUACAUUUUUGUGAUUUAUAUCAUUAUCGGGACGUAGAAAGUUAUAUAUUUAAAAAUAUAUGAUCCUCUCUGGUUACUCUGGUAUGAAUAACUCUGAAUCACUUUAUGGUAAAUAACACACUAUCCGCAAAAAACUGUGAAAGAAUUCCAGAUGACAAGUUUGUAGUUCAACAUACAAGUGACGACCUUUGACCUUCAUCAGGUUUUAUUUAAUUGUGUUAGAGAAAAUCUCAUAUGCUCUUCAUGCACCUGAGUACAUCAAGUGUUUAAAACGGAAGCUGUGCAGGUCUGAGAUACAAACUGAGGUCCUGUUAAUGCUGAUAUAUAGUGACACAGUUACAUGAGUGAUCAAUCCUUUUGUUAUUUUGUCUUUAACUUUAUCAAUAAAGCUGCAGCUUUCACUACAGCACAUGUGGUACUUAAACCUUUGUACUGUUUUCAUCAGUUCAUUUUGCAGUUAACAUGUGAACAUGUUGGAUGAUCUGUCUGCUGUCACUCGAUGGGGCUGAGGUCUGAAUCUGAGGGCAGCUCCUGUAAUCACAAAGAGAACAGAACCAUCAAACUCAAAUGUAAAGUUUAUCCCUCAACAUUGAAA